GGCAUUGCUGGGUAGCUAUGUAGGGAAGGGAUAAACGCUGAAAGCAUCUAAGUGUGAAGCCCACCUCAAGAUGAGAUUUCCCAUUUCUUUAAGAAAGUAAGACCCCUGAGAGAUGAUCAGGUAGAUAGGUUGGAAGUGGAAGGCUAGUGAUAGUUGGAGCGGACCAAUACUAAUCGGUCGAGGACUUAACCAAA
rnacentral:rRNA from 1 species